rnacentral:tRNA from 1 species
AGAAUAUUAUGUUAAUAAGGAAACUUCUAAUUUCCUAAAAAGCGGUUAAACUCCGUUUAUAUUCUA